GAAAGGUAUAAUUUCUUGCCCACGUUUCGCAAUACGUCAUUAAUAUUUUUUUCUGCGCAUCCUCUUGCGCAGCGCGUGCUUCAACUUUGUGGACCAGGCAUUUUUCUCGAAAACUAUCGGGUAUAUGUGAAAACUGUAAAACACGUGUCCUGUUACAUUUUCCUUCCAAAUUACAAUACGUCAUUAAUAUUUUUUUCUGCGCAUCCUCUUGCGCAGCGCAUGCUUCAACUUGGUUUUUUCGAAUGGAAGUGUAUUAUUUUUCUAACGGAAUCUGAUUCCCAUUUUUCUCGAAAACUAUCGGGUAUACGUGAAAACUGUAAACUGUUACAUUUUCCUUCCAAAUUAAAGUCCGUCAUUAAUAUUUUUUUCCAUCCUCUUGCGCAGCGCAUGCUUCAACUUUGUUUUUUCGAAUGGAAGUGUAUUACACUCUUGACACAAUGCACGCCUGGAAGUGUAUUAUUUUUCUG
rnacentral:lncRNA from 1 species